rnacentral:rRNA from 3 species
UAGGGAAUCUUCCACAAUGGACGCAAGUCUGAUGGAGCAACGCCGCGUGAGUGAAGAAGGUCUUCGGAUCGUAAAACUCUGUUGUUAGAGAAGAACACGAGUGAGAGUAACUGUUCAUUCGAUGACGGUAUCUAACCAGCAAGUCACGGCUAACUACGUGCCAGCAGCCGCGGUAAUACGUAGGUGGCAAGCGUUGUCCGGAUUUAUUGGGCGUAAAGGGAACGCAGGCGGUCUUUUAAGUCUGAUGUGAAAGCCUUCGGCUUAACCGGAGUAGUGCAUUGGAAACUGGAAGACUUGAGUGCAGAAGAGGAGAGUGGAACUCCAUGUGUAGCGGUGAAAUGCGUAGAUAUAUGGAAGAACACCAGUGGCGAAAGCGGCUCUCUGGUCUGUAACUGACGCUGAGGUUCGAAAGCGUGGGUAGCAAACA